AAGUCGUAACAAGGUUUCCGUAGGUGAACCUGCGGAAGGAUCAUUACCGAGUUCAUGCCCCCUCCGGGGGUAGAUCUCCCACCCUGUUUACCUUACCAGCGUUGCUUUGGCGGGUCGUCCCCCGUGGCCACCGGCGAUUCGUUGGUGUGCGCCCGCCGAAGGCCCUUUAACCCUGAUCAUAAUCGUGUCGUCCGAGUACGAUCUUAAUCGUUAAAACUUUCAACAACGGAUCUCUUGGUUCUG
rnacentral:misc_RNA from 1 species